GAGUUUGAUCGUGGCUCAGAUUGAACGCUGGCGGCAUGCCUUACACAUGCAAGUCGAACGGCAGCACGGGAGCUUGCUCCUGGUGGCGAGUGGCGAACGGGUGAGUAAUGCAUCGGAACGUAUCCUGGAGUGGGGGAUAACGUAGCGAAAGUUACGCUAAUACCGCAUAUUCUGUGAGCAGGAAAGCGGGGGGACCUUCGGGCCUCGCGCUCUUGGAGCGGCCGAUGUCGGAUUAGCUAGUUGGUGAGGUAAAGGCUCACCAAGGCGACGAUCCGUAGCAGGUCUGAGAGGAUGAUCUGCCACACUGGAACUGAGACACGGUCCAGACUCCUACGGGAGGCAGCAGUGGGAAUUUUGGACAAUGGGGGCAACCCUGAUCCAGCCAUGCCGCGUGAGUGAAGAAGG
rnacentral:rRNA from 1 species